rnacentral:rRNA from 1 species
UACGAAGGGGGCGAGCGUUGUUCGGAUUUACUGGGCGUAAAGGGCGCGCAGGCGGCUAUCCAAGUCAGGCGUGAAAGCCCCGGGCUUAACCUGGGAGGUGCGUCUGGGACUGGGUGGCUAGAGUUCGGGAGAGGAGAGUGGAAUUCCCAGUGUAGAGGUGAAAUUCGUAGAUAUUGGGAAGAACACCGGUGGCGAAGGCGGCUCUCUGGACCGAGACUGACGCUGAGGCGCGAAAGCGUGGGUAGCAAACAGG